AAUAGGACGGGAUCUUAGUUUUUUUAAAUUUGAUUAUGGUUUAGGAAGGUUUAAGAUGCUAUUAUUUAACUUUAAUUUAUUAAGUAGGCAAUGGUUUAUUACCUCGGCAGUGACUUGUUUGUAUAAUGUUAGUUCCAGAAUAAUCGGCUAUGCUAGUAAAGCUUGAACUUUAUUUUUGUGAAAGCAUGAUUUUAUUUUUUUUUUUUAGGUUUUAGGUAAAAUUUUAAUUUAUUUUUGGGAUAGUGUUGUGUUUUUAAGAUUUGUUAUUUGAAUUAGAUUAGUACCUAAUUAGUCAAAAUUUAAAAUUUCAGGAGUAGAGUUGUAUUUAAACUGAAAGAAUAUUGGCAGAUUUCUUAAAUUAUCUUUGGAGGUUGAGUGGUAAUUGAGAGCCCUCAUUAUCUACUUUUUUUUUAGGCUCAUGUAUGAUCGUUUAUUUUAUGCUUGAGGUUUAGGAGUUAAUUUUGUUAGGUUGUAAAAAUAGAUAUAUAUUUGGUUUAUAAGUGAAGUUUUAUUUGACCUACAUUGUUUAUGAAGUUGGAUUAUUGAUUUAGUGUCAAUAUGAAAUUGUAAAAGACAGUAAAGAGGUUUUUAUGUUUUCUUGAAGAUUAUUUGAGAGUGGUACAAAUCAUCCAUCAAUUGCCUAAAGGGGAGUAAGUUGUAGUAAAGUAGGUUUAGGGGAACCUGAACCUAGUAAUUG
rnacentral:ncRNA from 1 species